rnacentral:rRNA from 1 species
GACGAACGCUGGCGGCGUGCUUAACACAUGCAAGUCGAACGGAAAGGCCCUGCUUUUGUGGGGUGCUCGAGUGGCGAACGGGUGAGUAACACGUGAGUAACCUGCCCUUGACUUUGGGAUAACUUCAGGAAACUGGGGCUAAUACCGGAUAGGAGCUCCUGCUGCAUGGUGGGGGUUGGAAAGUUUCGGCGGUUGGGGAUGGACUCGCGGCUUAUCAGCUUGUUGGUGGGGUAGUGGCUUACCAAGGCUUUGACGGGUAGCCGGCCUGAGAGGGUGACCGGCCACAUUGGGCCUGAGGUACCGCCCGGACUCCUACGGGAGGCAGCAGUGGGGGAUAUUGCACGAUGGGCGGAAGCCUGAUGCAGCAACGCCGCGUGCGGGAUGACGGCCUUCGGGUUGUAAACCGCUUUCGCCUGGGACGAAGCGUGAGUGACGGUAAUGGGUAAAGAAGCACCGGCUAACUACGUG